UUAAUGGAGAGUUUGAUCCUGGCUCAGGACGAACGCUGGCGGCGUGCCUAAUACAUGCAAGUCGAGCGAGGGUCUUUGGACCCUAGCGGCGGACGGGUGAGUAACACGUAGGCAACCUGCCUGUAAGACUGGGAUAACAUAGGGAAACUUAUGCUAAUACCGGAUAGGGUUUUGCUUCGCCUGGAGCGAAACGGAAAGAUGGCGCAAGCUAUCACUUACAGAUGGGCCUGCGGCGCAUUAGCUAGUUGGUGAGGUAAUGGCUCACCAAGGCGACGAUGCGUAGCCGACCUGAGAGGGUGACCGGCCACACUGGGACUGAGACACGGCCCAGACUCCUACGGGAGGCAGCAGUAGGGAAUUUUCCACAAUGGACGAAAGUCUGAUG
rnacentral:rRNA from 1 species